UACGAAGGGGGCUAGCGUUGCUCGGAAUCACUGGGCGUAAAGCGCACGUAGGCGGCUUUUUAAGUCAGGGGUGGAAUCCUGGAGCUCAACUCCAGAACUGCCUUUGAUACUGAGAAGCUUGAGUCCGGGAGAGGUGAGUGGAACUGCGAGUGUAGAGGUGAAAUUCGUAGAUAUUCGCAAGAACACCAGUGGCGAAGGCGGCUCACUGGCCCGGUACUGACGCUGAGGUGCGAAAGCGUGGGGAGCAAACAGG
rnacentral:rRNA from 1 species